rnacentral:rRNA from 1 species
CACUGGCAGCUCAAGUGGUGGCCGUUUUAUUGGGCCUAAAGCGUUCGUAGCCGGUUUGAUAAGUCUCUGGUGAAAUCCUACAGCUUAACUGUGGGAAUUGCUGGAGAUACUAUCAGACUUGAGGUCGGGAGAGGUUAGAGGAACUCCCAGGGUAGGGGUGAAAUCCUAUAAUCCUGGGAGGACCACCUGUGGCGAAGGCGUCUAACUGGAACGAACCUGACGGUGAGUAACGAAAGCCAGGGGCGCGAAC